UCUGGCUUGGCCAGUCUAGGGGUCUCUGCUCUGCAGCCACCCUCCAACAGGCUGCCGGUGUGGAAGGCAACAAGCUCUCAGGCCUGGGGAUGGGACGGUGGGUGGGGAGUGUUCACUUCCACGUUCCCAGGGUCCUGUAGCUCAGCGGAAAUGAAACCUCUAGGAUGUGACUGCAGCAUGGCGGGAUAUGAAACAGAAUGGAUUUUGCAACCCUUCAAGGUGUUGUAUGCAAGGUGUGGCUCUGUCAAGGGCCUCUUGCGCCUGUUGAGGGGUGCUUCUUAGAGCUGGUGACGCUCUGAAACCAGGGCUGGGCCCCUUUCUGGGAUGGGGGACUAUAUGAGAAAAGGCACCAACUCUGCGAAACAAAUCCAGGCUCUUGCCCAAGUCAAAGAGCAGCCCACAGUAGCACUGGAGCUUCUGUGGCUUAGGGUGUCUCCUGGGCUGAGACCUUGAACUUACACCCAGGAAGUGAGGCGUCUGUUAGUAAGUGAGACUCCCAGCCGUGAGUCAGGUCUCUGCAGUGGGGCAGAUGUGGGGGUACGGGUGUGUGCUCAGGAGGGGAGGCUGGGGAGCAGGGUGCUUGCUCAGCUAAGCGCUGAUCCUGCCACUGCCAGCCAUUCGCUGUGUGGCCUCGUAACAUAUGUAACUGCUCUGUGCCUAAGCUGUGUCAUCUGUGAAAUGGGAACACCAAUUAUAGAUUCUUAUAGCUCUUGGGAUUAUUGCUAGGGUCAAACCAAAGUGACCUCAUGAGUAUGAAAGAACUCUGAGAACCUUCCAGAGCUUUACUGAAGUUCUGUCUCUCAAAAUAAUGACAGCUGACUUUUCUCUGAGCAGUGCUUGUCGCAGGCCAUCCUCCCACCAACUCUGAAUGAGGUGGGCACUGACUCUGUUUCAUGGAAGUGACACAAACACAGAGAGUACCUAUUAGGUCCCAGGCAUACAGCAUUGGACAAAGCAGAAAACAUUCUCUAUCUUCAUGGAACUUAUGUUCUAGCAAUGGCAACCAGACAAUAAAGAAGAUAAAAUGUGUGUAGGAUUAAUUAAUUUUAGAUCAAAGAUGUCCAGAGAAGAUCUCACUGAGAAAGGAGACAUUUGAGCAAAGAACAAAACAAGACCACUGACAACUGCUGAGAAUGAACAGGAGGGAGCGCAGGCCGGGAGACUGGUGGAGGUGACUGCAAUCGUCUGGGGCAUCUUCGCGGCCCCUGCGGAGCUGAGGAGGGAGCCCCAAGGCCAGAGGCAGGGCAGAGGCUGCAUCAAGGUCUAUGGAGGCCUCCUCUCCCACCCCUCCAGGGAAAGAUAUGAUCUCCUCUUACUAUUCAGCACCAACACCAGCGGACCGACAGCCCAAGAUUAAAGGCAAUUAGACAGGUUUGUUUUUGUAGGGGCAGAAGGUCUG